AUUGAACGCUGGCGGCAGGCUUAACACAUGCAAGUCGAGCGGGGUGAUGGUGCUUGCACUAUCACUUAGCGGCGGACGGGUGAGUAAUGCUUAGGAAUCUGCCUAUUAGUGGGGGACAACAUCUCGAAAGGGAUGCUAAUACCGCAUACGUCCUACGGGAGAAAGCAGGGGAUCACUUGUGACCUUGCGCUAAUAGAUGAGCCUAAGUCGGAUUAGCUAGUUGGUGGGGUAAAGGCCUACCAAGGCGACGAUCUGUAGCGGGUCUGAGAGGAUGAGCCGCCACACUGGGACUGAGACACGGCCCAGACUCCUACGGUAGGCAGCAGUGGUGAAUAUUGGACAAUGGGGGAACCCUGAUCCAGCCAUGCCGCGUGUGUGAAGAAGGCCUUAUGGUUGUAAAGCACUUUAAGCGAGGAGGAGGCUCUUUUGGUUAAUACCCAAGAUGAGUGGACGUUACUCGCAGAAUAAGCACCGGCUAACUCUGUGCCAGCAGCCGCCGUAA
rnacentral:rRNA from 1 species